AUUAGAGUUUGAUCCUGGCUCAGGACGAACGCUGGCGGCUGCCUAAUACAUGCAAGUUGAACGCGGGAAGCAUUCUGAAGCCUUCGGGCGGACGAAUGUGGAACGAGUAGCGGACGGGUGAGUAACACGUGGGGAACCUGCCCGGAAGACGGAGAUAACCCCGGGAAACCGGGGCAUAAUAGCCGAUAAGGUGUCCACCGCAUGGUGGACAGACAAAAGGACGGUUUCGGCCGUUGCUUCCGGAGGGUCCCGCGGCGCAUUAACUGGUUGGUGAGGUAACGGCCCACCAAGGCGACGAUGCGUAGCCGACCUGAGAGGGUGACCGGCCACACUGGGACUGAGAACACGGCCCAGACUCCUACGGGAGGCAGCAGUAGGGAAUCAUCCGCAAUGGGGAAACCCUGACGGUGCAACGCCGCGUGAGCGAAGAAGGUUUUCGGAUCGUAGCUACUGUUGUGGAGGAAGAACGCAGAGGAGAGG
rnacentral:rRNA from 1 species